UACAGAGGUGGCAAGCGUUGUUCGGAAUUACUGGGCGUAAAGCGCGUGUAGGCGGCUCUUCAAGUCAGGCGUGAAAUGCCGGGGCUCAACCCCGGGACUGCGUCCGAUACUUCCGAGCUGGAGGUAGGUAGGGGAGAUCGGAAUUCCUGGUGUAGCGGUGAAAUGCGCAGAUAUCAGGAGGAACACCGGUGGCGAAGGCGGAUCUCUGGGCCUACCUGACGCUGAGGCGCGAAAGCUAGGGGAGCGAACAGG
rnacentral:rRNA from 1 species